AUUGAACGCUGGCGGCAUGCCUUACACAUGCAAGUCGAACGGCAGCACGGGAGCAAUCCUGGUGGCGAGUGGCGAACGGGUGAGUAAUAUAUCGGAACGUGCCCAGUCGUGGGGAUAACGUAGAGAAAUUUACGCUAAUACCGCAUACGAUCUAAGGAUGAAAGCGGGGGACCGUAAGGCCUCGCGCGAUUGGAGCGGCUGAUAUCAGAUUAGGUAGUUGGUGAGGUAAAGGCUCACCAAGCCGACGAUCUGUAGCUGGUCUGAGAGGACGACCAGCCACACUGGGACUGAGACACGGCCCAGACUCCUACGGGAGGCAGCAGUGGGGAAUAUUGGACAAUGGGCGAAAGACCUGAUCCAGCAACUGCCGCGUGAGUGAUGAAGGCCU
rnacentral:rRNA from 1 species